GCGGACGUAGCUCAGCUGGUAGAGCACCACCUUGCCAAGGUGGGGGUCGCGGGUUCGAGUCCCGUCGUCCGCU
rnacentral:tRNA from 2 species